rnacentral:rRNA from 1 species
AAAAAAAUCUUUUUUGAAAUUAAUUAAUUAAAGUUAUUUUUAUUUGUGAAGAAACAAUAAUAGAAAUUAAGGACAAGAAGACCCUAAGAAUUUUAGGGAUUAUUCUUAAAGUUAAUAGAAUAAAUCCAUUUAAUUGGGGCGAUUUUAAAAAAUAAUUAACUUUUGGAAAAAAAAAAAGAUCCAUUAAUAGUGAUCAUUUGGUAAAAUACUCUAGGGAUAACAGCGUAAUAAUUUUAGAUAGUUCAUAUAGAAAAAAUAGUUUGCGACCUCGAUGUUGGAUUAGGAUACUAAUUUAAUGAAGAAGUUAAAU